AGAGUUUGAUCCUGGCUCAGGACGAACGCUGGCGGCGUGCCUAAUACAUGCAAGUAGAACGCUGAAGGAGGAGCUUGCUUCUCUGGAUGAGUUGCGAACGGGUGAGUAACGCGUAGGUAACCUGCCUGGUAGCGGGGGAUAACUAUUGGAAACGAUAGCUAAUACCGCAUAAGAGUGGAUGUUGCAUGACAUUUGCUUAAAAGGUGCACUUGCAUCACUACCAGAUGGACCUGCGUUGUAUUAGCUAGUUGGUGGGGUAACGGCUCACCAAGGCGACGAUACAUAGCCGACCUGAGAGGGUGACCGGCCACACUGGGACUGAGACACGGCCCAGACUCCUACGGGAGGCAGCAGUAGGGAAUCUUCGGCAAUGGACGGAAGUCUGACCGAGCAACGCCGCGUGAGUGAAGAAGGUUUUCGGAUCGUAAAGCUCUGUUGUAAGAGAAGAAUGAGUGUGAGAGUGGAAAGUUCACACUGUGACGGUAUCUUACCAGAAAGGGACGGCUAACUACGUGCCAGCAGCCGCGGUAAUACGUAGGUCCCGAGCGUUGUCCGGAUUUAUUGGGCGUAAAGCGAGCGCAGGCGGUUAGAUAAGUCUGAAGUUAAAGGCUGUGGCUUAACCAUAGUAGGCUUUGGAAACUGUUUAACUUGAGUGCAAGAGGGGAGAGUGGAAUUCCAUGUGUAGCGGUGAAAUGCGUAGAUAUAUGGAGGAACACCGGUGGCGAAAGCGGCUCUCUGGCUUGUAACUGACGCUGAGGCUCGAAAGCGUGGGGAGCAAACAGGAUUAGAUACCCUGGUAGUCCACGCUGUAAACGAUGAGUGCUAGGUGUUAGACCCUUUCCGGGGUUUAGUGCCGUAGCUAACGCAUUAAGCACUCCGCCUGGGGAGUACGACCGCAAGGUUGAAACUCAAAGGAAUUGACGGGGGCCCGCACAAGCGGUCGAGCAUGUGGUUUAAUUCGAAGCAACGCGAAAAACCUUACCAGGUCUUGACAUCCCUCUGACCGCUCUAGAGAUAGAGCUUUCCUUCGGGACAGAGGUGACAGGUGGUGCAUGGUUGUCGUCAGCUCGUGUCGUGAGAUGUUGGGUUAAGUCCCGCAACGAGCGCAACCCCUAUUGUUAGUUGCCAUCAUUUAGUUGGGCACUCUAGCGAGACUGCCGGUAAUAAACCGGAGGAAGGUGGGGAUGACGUCAAAUCAUCAUGCCCCUUAUGACCUGGGCUACACACGUGCUACAAUGGCUGGUACAACGAGUCGCAAGCCGGUGACGGCAAGCUAAUCUCUUAAAGCCAGUCUCAGUUCGGAUUGUAGGCUGCAACUCGCCUACAUGAAGUCGGAAUCGCUAGUAAUCGCGGAUCAGCACGCCGCGGUGAAUACGUUCCCGGGCCUUGUACACACCGCCCGUCACACCACGAGAGUUUGUAACACCCGAAGUCGGUGAGGUAACCGUAAGGAGCCAGCCGCCUAAGGUGGGAUAGAUGAUUGGGGUGAAGUCGUAACAAGGUAGCCGUAUCGGAAGGUGCGGCUGGAUCACCU
rnacentral:rRNA from 1 species